CACCCUUCCCAGCUGUUGGCUAAGAUCAAGUGCAUCAUCUUUUUUAUCACUUUAUUGUCUGAUACAUCCUCAGCUUAAAGAUUUUAUAUUAAAUGGAUUUGGAAGGCAUGGAAAGGAAUAAUUAUUUCCUCCACUCCAUGCAUCAACCCAGAUGUGCAGUGCUUCCAGCUAUAGUGGUCACACU